AAUAUCUAAAACCCACCUAAAUAUAGGGCUUCGCUCAAUAAGAUCGUCCCAAGCAAAGCUCUUGGAGACUGGAACAAAAGAAAAAGCGUUCGUAAAACCCUAGGUUAUCAUCUUCAAUUUCAGGAAUUCUAAAAGCUGCUUUUGGUGUUACUCAUGGCUAGCGGAUCAUCAACAGAUUUGAGUAAGGAGAGCUGCAUGCGCUAUUGUUAAAGAAAUUGCCUAUCAUAAUCUUACUGCAGUAUGCGUUUGCUGCUUAUCGUGGAAAAUCAUUUGACUGGCUGUGUGUCGUACUCCACCUUAUGCUCAAUGCGUUCCUUUUCCUAACGGAGGAUUAUCAAAGCAAUGUGUUCACAUCCAUGAAAGUGUCCUUUAGGAAGUUUGUAUGCCGAAAGAAGUCUCACAAUGCUUGAAACCAGAGGAUCUCAGUGACCAUUAGGAAAACUGACAACAACACCGUAAUAUACCUUAAGGCCUUGUUGUCAGUUUGCUCACUGCUUGCUGAUUCAAAUACAAUAAAGGCUGGAUUAUACUGUAUGUGGGUCCGAAAAAUUGAGGCAAUAUGCAGCUGUUGCUAUUCAUUUUUGGACUGAAAACUUUGGCUUAAAAUGCAUUCUCUGGUGGCUUGGAUGGAUAAUCUGGUUCAGAUCUGCAGCUCUGUUAGAUUUUACUCUUUUUUAGUAAUUUCAUUUCUGUACUUCUUUGAGUGGUAUAUUUGGUUCAUGCAAUCGCAAGCAAGAGUAUCUAAUGUGCCUCUAGCUUGAGUGGAUAGUCUGGUGGCUUGUUAAUGAAACAUACGCUCAGUACGAGCAUUGCCAGAAGAGUUGGGUGGAUUUCUUUCGUGGUCCAUCAAUUCCAUUUGAAUUCUGAUUUAUUCUGCGGACAAGGACUUGGGUCUGGAUUUUUGGGGUUCUAUUUUUUUACAGAAUGCCAGUGUUGUCCUCAAAUGAGGUCAUAUAA